UACGUAGGGUGCGAGCGUUAAUCAGAAUUACUGGGCGUAAAGCGUGCGCAGGCGGUUUGUAAGUCAGAUGUGAAAUCCCCGGGCUCAACCUGGGAACUGCGUUUGAAACUACAAGGCUAGAGUGUAGCAGGGGGGGGGUAGAAUUCCACGUGUAGCAGUGAAAUGCGUAGAGAUGUGGAGGAAUACCAAUGGCGAAGGCAGCCCCCUGGGUUAACACUGACGCUCAUGCACGAAAGCGUGGGGAGCAAACAGG
rnacentral:rRNA from 1 species